UCCGGAUUAGCUCAGUUGGUAGAGCAGUGGACUGUUAAUCCAUUUGUCGCAAGUUCGAGUCUUGCAUCCGGAG
rnacentral:tRNA from 1 species